CCUACGGGAGGCAGCAGUGAGGAAUAUUGGUCAAUGGACGCAAGCCUGAACCAGCCAUGCCGCGUGCAGGAAGACGGCUCUAUGAGUUGUAAACUGCUUUUGUACGAGGGUAAACGCAGAUACGCGUAUCUGUCUGAAAGUAUCGUACUACUAAGGAUCGGCUAACUCCGUGCCAGCAGCCCCGGUAAUACGGAGGGUUCAAGCGUUAUCCGGAUUUAUUGGGUUUAAAGGGUGCGAAGGCGGGAGGAUAAGUCAGAGGUGAAAUCCCGAGGCUCAACUUCGGAAUUGCCUCUGAUACUGUUCGGCUAGAGUGUAGUUGCGGUAGGCGGAAUGUAUGGUGUAGCGGUGAAAUGCUUAGAGAUCAUACAGAACACCGAUUGCGAAGGCAGCUUACCAAGCUACUACUGACGGUGAGGCACGAAAGCGUGGGGAGCAAACAGGAUUAGAUACCCGAGUAGUC
rnacentral:rRNA from 1 species